UUUACAUGAUGACCAAUUUGUCUAGUUCUGCUACUGACUAUACCAAUUUAUGAGGAUAACCAAAUACCAAUCCACUGAAAU
rfam:Lucilia cuprina strain LS Scaffold6, whole genome shotgun sequence.